rnacentral:Y_RNA from 1 species
GGCUGGUCUGAGGGCCAUGGUGUUAACAACUAAUUGAUCACAACAAGUUACAGAUUUUAUUGUUCCUUCACUCCUACUGCUUCACUUGACUAGCCUUAA